rnacentral:lncRNA from 1 species
GCCGCUCGCCGCCUCUUUGUCUGCUCCGGGACUUGGAACAAAAGGGGGAACUCUGAUGAACUCUCUUUCCUCCCCUCUCCCCCGGACGCCGGGGUAUCUCCCUCUCGCAACUUUGCCGCCCCGACUUUCUCUGCUGUCAGGCCGGGAAAAAGUGUCCGAACGCCUCGUGGACUGCAGCGGGGGAAAUGUCCCUUAAAAGUGCGACGAAGUGGGGAAGAAGGUGUAAUUACUAUUAUCAGCAUCUAGAAAGCAUCAUGAAUUUGCUGGAGUACUUCCUAGCACUGACCUCCUUCAUUCUGCGUUGUUCUUACUGGAUCUUUCCAUCAGCCAACAAUAUGGAAGUACCAAUACAAGGUCAAAUCAUUCCUGGAUUCAUCUGGAGUUGCUUAAAAGUUAAAUCAUUGGAAUUUUUGAUGAUACCUUUUCUAUAUGGAUUACAAUUUGAUCGCUGGGAAUUCUCCACCUUAAAGAAGUACCCUCAGGUGACUACAGAUGUGUUAACACCCAGCAUGUUCCGGUAGGAGACUUUCUGGAUGGGGAAGAUUUCCAGGUGUGAAUCAUGGCAAUACAGUGAAAGACAGUGAUUUACUGCUUUUGAGGGCGUGCAUGUAUAUGAUUAACGGAUGGAAGUGCAGGACUCCAAGAUUUACUUCCUUCCCUUUCCAGCAGAAUUACCUGAGACGAGUAAAAUCUACUGGUGGAGUCACUCCAUUAUUCUUAUCUGUGGAGAUCUAGAUCUUGAUUUGAAAGUUUCUGAGAAAAUCUUCAGCUCAGACUUGAGGGUCAACUUUACCAGCUGAAGGAUCUGCAUUUACUGCUCAACCACAUCUAAUUUGAUGUCCUCUGCAGAUUUAAAAUGUGUGCCUUCUUUUCCGUCACCAAGUCAUCCCUGGGUUACUACUGAACAUCCUUCUCAAUUCCCCCCGACCCAUGGAUGGCUGUUCUCCAUUGUCUGUUUCACCAGAUGUCCUCAAAACAAACAGACAGAAGAAGGAAGUGGCUAAUGGAGCUGUGGAGUCCAAGUGUGACUGCCAAGAGGAAUCCAGCAAAGCCAAAAAGCCCAAGCAUGUAGCCCUGCCCGAAGCACGCCACACGCAUGGAAAACCCAGAGGAAAUGAGUGAGGAUCAAUGGGAAGAAGAGAGCCAGCCAGGGCACCGAGGAAGAGAACCAAUGGCAGAGGCCACAUGUGCAAGCAAGAUGGGAGUCUGGAGAGCCUCAGGCUAAAUCACGAGUGCUCAGCCCUCUCCUCUUUGUAAGGGCAACCGGGUCAUAUCUGCCAGCAUAGAACUGCUCUGUCCACAGCCCUAAAAUCUAAUACCUAGAACAAUAAAUGCACUUAAGCACGUCAAA